GUUUGCCGCGUCUGCUGUGAAAGCCCGGGGCUUAACCCCGGGUGUGCAGUGGGUACGGGCAGACUAGAGUGCAGUAGGGGAGACUGGAAUUCCUGGUGUAGCGGUGAAAUGCGCAGAUAUCAGGAGGAACACCGAUGGCGAAGGCAGGUCUCUGGGCUGUUACUGACGCUGAGGAGCGAAAGCAUGGGGAGCGAACAGGAUUAGAUACCCUGGUAGUCCAUGCCGUAAACGUUGGGCACUAGGUGUGGGGGACAUUCCACGUUUUCCGCGCCGUAGCUAACGCAUUAAGUGCCCCGCCUGGGGAGUACGGCCGCAAGGCUAAAACUCAAAGGAAUUGACGGGGGCCCGCACAAGCGGCGGAGCAUGCGGAUUAAUUCGAUGCAACGCGAAGAACCUUACCAAGGCUUGACAUGGACCGGACCGCUGCAGAGAUGCAGCUUCCCUUCGGGGCUGGUUCACAGGUGGUGCAUGGUUGUCGUCAGCUCGUGUCGUGAGAUGUUGGGUUAAGUCCCGCAACGAGCGCAACCCUUGUCCUAUGUUGCCAGCACGUAAAGGUGGGGACUCAUGGGAGACUGCCGGGGUCAACUCGGAGGAAGGUGGGGAUGACGUCAAAUCAUCAUGGCCCUUAUGGGUAGGGUUACACACGUGCUACAAUGGCCGGUACAGAGGGCUGCGUAACUGCGAAGUUAAGCAAAUCCCAGAAAGCCGGUCUUAGUCCGG
rnacentral:rRNA from 1 species